GACGUAGGGCGCGAGCGUUGUCCGGAUUUAUUGGGCGUAAAGAGCUCGUAGGCGGUCUGUCGCGUCGGCUGUGAAAUCUCGGGGCUCAACCCCGAGCCUGCAGUCGAUACGGGCAGACUAGAGUGCUGUAGGGGAGACUGGAAUUCCUGGUGUAGCGGUGAAAUGCGCAGAUAUCAGGAGGAACACCGGUGGCGAAGGCGGGUCUCUGGGCCGGUACUGACGCUGAGGAGCGAAAGCGUGGGGAGCAAACAGG
rnacentral:rRNA from 1 species